CCCUUAACUAUUAAAAGUUUUGUUUUGGUCUUUUAACUUACUUUUUGGUUUCGUUUUGGUCCCUUAACUUAUUUUUUGGUUUCAUUUUAGUCCCUUAACUCUAAUACAUUCAUCCUAACAUAAAGGACCAAAGUGGUUGACGAAGGAAGAGUUAAGGGACCAAAACGAAACCAAAAAGUAAGUUAAAAGACCAAAACGAAACUUUUAAUAGUUAAGGGACCAAAACGAAACCAAAAAGUAAGUUAAGGGACCAAAACGAAACUUUUAAUAGUUAAGGGA
rfam:Medicago truncatula strain A17 chromosome 5, whole genome shotgun sequence.